AGGUUAAGUUAACAAGGGCGCAUGGUGAAUGCCUUGGCACUAGGAGCCGAUGAAGGACGGGACUAACACCGAUAUGCUUCGGGGAGCUGUACGUAAGCUAUGAUCCGGAGAUUUCCGAAUGGGGCAACCCAGCAGUUUUAAUCAACUGUUACCACUAGAUGAAUUCAUAGUCUAGUUGGAGGUAAACGCUGUGAACUGAAACAUCUCAUUAGCAGCAGGAAUAUAAAGAAAUUUCGAUUCCCUAAGUAGCGGCGAGCGAACGGGGAACAGCCCAAACCAAAGUGCUUGCACUUUGGGGUUGUAGGACUGAACAUUUGAGUUACCAAAGAACUUGAUAGUCGAAGGAUUUGGGAAAAUCCGCCAUAGAUGGUGAUAGCCCAGUAGAUUAAAUCAAAUUCUCUCAGUUCAGGAUCCUGAGUACGGCGGAACACGUGAAAUUCCGUCGGAAUCCGGGAGGACCAUCUCCCAAGGCUAAAUACUACCUAGUGACCGAUAGUGAACCAGUACCGUGAGGGAAAGGUGAAAAGCACCCCGGGAGGGGAGUGAAAUAGUUCCUGAAACCAUGUGCCUACAAUAAGUCAGAGCGCGUUAAUGCGUGAUGGCGUGCCUUUUGUAGAAUGAACCGGCGAGUUAUGAUCCCGUGCAAGGUUAAGACUAAAAAGUUGGAGCCGUAGCGAAAGCGAGUCUGAAAUGGGCGAUUUGAGUACGAGGUUAUAGACCCGAAACCAGGUGACCUAUCCAUGUCCAGGUUGAAGGUGCGGUAAAACGCACUGGAGGACCGAACCCGUGUAAGUUGAAAAUUGCUGGGAUGAGGUGUGGAUAGCGGUGAAAUUCCAAACGAACUUGGAGAUAGCUGGUUCUCUCCGAAAUAGCUUUAGGGCUAGCCUCGGAUUAAGGAUCAUGGAGGUAGAGCACUAUUUGGACUAGGGGCCCGUCUUGGGUUACUGAAUUCAGAUAAACUCCGAAUGCCAUUGAUUCAUGUCCGGGAGUCAGACGAUGAGUGAUAAGAUCCACCGUCGAAAGGGGAACAGCCCAGACCAUCAGUUAAGGUCCCUAAAUGUAUGCUAAGUGGAAAAGGAUGUGGAGUUGCAUAGACAACUAGGAUGUUGGCUCAGAAGCAGCCACCAUUUAAAGAGUGCGUAAUAGCUCACUAGUCGAGUGAUCCUGCGCCGAAAAUGUACCGGGGCUAAGCAUACUACCGAAACCAUGGAUGCGACCAUUAGGUCGCGUGAUAGGAGAGCGUUCUAAGGGCGGUGAAGCAAGAUCGUGAGGACUUGUGGAGCGCUUAGAAGUGAGAAUGCCGGUAUGAGUAGCGAAAGAUAGGUGAGAAUCCUAUCCACCGAAUGACUAAGGUUUCCUGGGGAAGGCUCGUCCUCCCAGGGUUAGUCGGGACCUAAGUCGAGGCCGAGAGGCGUAGACGAUGGAUAACAGGUUGAGAUUCCUGUACUAGUUAAGUGCGUUUGAGCAAUGGAGGGACGCAGGAGGCUAAGAUGUGCAUUCUGUUGGAUUAGAAUGUCCAAGCAGUAAGUCUUGUGGAGAGUCAAAUGCUUUUCACUUUAAGGACAAGCUGUGAUGGGGAGCGAAAUUUAGUAGCGAAGCGUCUGAUGUCACACUGCCGAGAAAAGCUUCUAGUGAGUACUUAACUACCCGUACCGCAAACCGACACAGGUAGUCGAGGAGAGAAUCCUAAGGUGAGCGAGUGAACUCUCGUUAAGGAACUCGGCAAAAUGACCCCGUAACUUCGGGAGAAGGGGUGCUGAUCGCAAGAUCAGCCGCAGUGAAUAGGCCCAGGCGACUGUUUAUCAAAAACACAGGUCUCUGCAAAAUCGUAAGAUGACGUAUAGGGGCUGACGCCUGCCCGGUGCUGGAAGGUUAAAAGGAUGGGUUAGCUUCGGCGAAGCUCAGAAUUGAAGCCCCAGUAAACGGCGGCCGUAACUAUAACGGUCCUAAGGUAGCGAAAUUCCUUGUCGGGUAAGUUCCGACCCGCACGAAAGGCGUAACGAUCUGGGCACUGUCUCAACGAGAGACUCGGUGAAAUUAUAUUGUCCGUGAAGAUGCGGACUACCCGCGACAGGACGGAAAGACCCCAUGGAGCUUUACUGUAGCUUGAUAUUGAGUGUUUGUACAGCUUGUACAGGAUAGGUAGGAGCCAUAGAAACCGGAACGCUAGUUUCGGUGGAGGCGUUGGUGGGAUACUACCCUCGCUGUAUGACCACUCUAACCCGCACCACUAAUCGUGGUGGGAGACAGUGUCAGGUGGGCAGUUUGACUGGGGCGGUCGCCUCCUAAAAAGUAACGGAGGCGCCCAAAGGUUCCCUCAGAAUGGUUGGAAAUCAUUCGCAGAGUGUAAAGGCACAAGGGAGCUUGACUGCGAGACAGACAGGUCGAGCAGGGACGAAAGUCGGGCUUAGUGAUCCGGUGGUACCGUAUGGAAGGGCCAUCGCUCAACGGAUAAAAGCUACCCUGGGGAUAACAGGCUUAUCUCCCCCAAGAGUCCACAUCGACGGGGAGGUUUGGCACCUCGAUGUCGGCUCAUCGCAUCCUGGGGCUGUAGUCGGUCCCAAGGGUUGGGCUGUUCGCCCAUUAAAGCGGUACGCGAGCUGGGUUCAGAACGUCGUGAGACAGUUCGGUCCCUAUCCGUCGCGGGCGUAGGAAAUUUGAGAGGACCUGUCCUUAGUACGAGAGGACCGGGAUGGACAUACCUCUGGUGUACCAGUUGUGCCGCCAGGCGCAUCGCUGGGUAGCUACGUAUGGAUGUGAUAAACGCUGAAAGCAUCUAAGUGUGAAACACACCUCGAGAUGAGAUUUCCCAUUCCUUUAUGGAAGUAAGACCCCUGAAAGAUGAUCAGGUAGAUAGGUUAGAAGUGGCAGUGCGGUGACGCAUGAAGCGGACUAAUACUAAUCGGUCGAGGACUUAACCAAG
rnacentral:rRNA from 2 species